rnacentral:lncRNA from 1 species
GUUGUCUCCGUUAACACAGGGUGAGCCCUGAAGGGGUUGGCAGCUGCGGGGAGAAAUAGCAGAGUGGACAGGCAGCACUAGUCCCAAGAAAAGCCCACAGCGAUUGUAAACUGCAAGGACAGCAUGGGGUUUUAUUCUGAAAGCAACUCCUUCCACACGGCGGUAUAGAAUUGGAGACGAAAUCCAGUGCAUCAACCAAAAACACGACAAUAGCCCCUCUUUGCAGCAGGGAUUGUCCUCACCCUUCCAUCCUCGGAGUCCUCGUGGGCCCUGGUGUGUUGUAGAACUUCCUCCAUGCAGACAGAGACUUCUUCACGGAAACAAAACUGUCUCUGAGGCAAGAAGAUUCCCGGACAGAGACAAGAUGGAUCAGACCCCAGCCCACCAGCUUAUCCAAGAGAGCUGGCCUUCUGCUUUUGCAAAUGAAUUCCUCCUGCAUGAGAGUGCCCAUCCAGCUACCUAAACUGGAGUCCUUUCCUGUCUGCCCUCUAAAUUUCUAAUUAAAG